rnacentral:rRNA from 1 species
GUGGGGAAUUUUGGACAAUGGGGGCAACCCUGAUCCAGCCAUGCCGCGUGCGGGAAGAAGGCCUUCGGGUUGUAAACCGCUUUUGUCAGGGAAGAAAUCCUUUGGGUUAAUACCUCGGAGGGAUGACGGUACCUGAAGAAUAAGCACCGGCUAACUACGUGCCAGCAGCCGCGGUAAUACGUAGGGUGCGAGCGUUAAUCGGAAUUACUGGGCGUAAAGCGUGCGCAGGCGGCGAUGCAAGACAGAUGUGAAAUCCCCGGGCUCAACCUGGGAAUUGCGCUUGUGACUGCAAGGCUGGAGUGCGGCAGAGGGGGAUGGAAUUCCGCGUGUAGCAGUGAAAUGCGUAGAUAUGCGGAGGAACACCGAUGGCGAAGGCAAUCCCCUGGGCCUGCACUGACGCUCAUGCACGAAAGCGUGGGGAGCAAACAGGAUUAGAAACCCUUGUAGUCC